UUAACUGUACUGUUGCUGUGCAAAUCCAUGCAAAACUGACUAUAGCAGUGAAAAUGCACAACUAACCUUUCGUACCGAGGAACCCCUUUCUGUGCAGGUUGGGAUCGGUUGCAAUGCUGUUUGCUUGUGAGGUAUUGCACUUGUCCCGGCCUGUUGAGGACUGAGGGAAUUGAACCAUCACUGACUUUGGGAGCAUGUUACUUAUUUUAGUGACGCAAUGUGUGCACACCACACUGGCUGUGUAGUUGAACAAAGAUAAUUUUAGCUAGUAAAGAAUGCUGCUGUUUGGCUUGGUUUCAAAUGAGUAGUCAUUUCGUGCUUGUGGAGCAUUUAUUUAUGUAUUGCCAUGCCAGUAAACACAUUUUAAUGAGACAUAUUUAAAUACUGUUAACUUCUAGACCUGUGUAUUUUAACAGUAACUUUUUUUUAAUAAAAGGAAAUUAUAUAUAAUAUAAUUGUUUUCAUCAAAUUUAGCUGUAGUAUAAAACUGUUGUUCUUUAAUGCAUGGUCUGUUUGGUAUUAAUCUUUAAUUGGGUCCAGCACACUAUCUCAUUAGAUGCAUGUGAAUGGGGGGAGGUUUUACAGAGGUAGUUGGAUAGCCACUUUCCAGUGCUGGGGUGUAAACGUUAGCAAACAUUUUUGAACUUUUUAUCUGUUCGUGGCUAACAUAGGCAAACGAUCUUAAGAGGUUGCGUGCAGUGGAACAAAAAUGGCUACGAGGAGAUUAGUUUGACUCUGGGCGACGGGCGGAAGUUUUUCGAUUUUAUAUGGACCCAGAGGAAGCUCAAUGAGUUAUAUCAAAGAAUUGUGAGGGUCUGGAACCAACACCCCAAUAAUGUUGGUGAAGCUGACACCCUGGGAUCCUUCAAGAAGCUGCUUGAUGAGAUUCUGGGAUCAAUAAGCUACUAACAACCAAACGAGCAAGAUGGGCCAAAUGGCCUCUCGUUUGUGAACUUUCUUAUGUAUAUAAAUUGCCUAAUUGUGAAAAACCAUACAUUUAUUGUAUAUCUGGAAUGUAGUCUUUACCUGUUAGUAAAUGUGUUACUGCCUACAAUCCAUGCUUUAAAUUAAUCAAAGUUAAUGUCUUUCUACAAUAUAGUAAUUUAAGGGGAAUUCUCAGGUGUUUGCAAUGAUAGACUGUCCGUGAGAGAGAGUUUAAACUUGUGUAAGAACUGGCAAAAAAGGGGGUUGUAGAGAUUAAAAUAUAACUUGUACUGGGGCAUUACAGUAACUGCAAAAUCAGUAUUGCUUGUAAUGUUUUAUUGCUUAGUCAUUUUAGGAUUUAUUUUUUCUUGCAGAGGAAUAAAGAACCACAAAUGAUAUAUCGUAAAAAUAAUUGCCAGGUCAAAUACACUCAGCAGUCUGCUGGCAAAUAUUAUAAAUAAAUGCCAGAGGCGUUUAAAUGAAGUUUUAUGGUAAAUAAGUCUACCUUGUCAUACUUUCAGGAGGUUUGCUGUUGGGAAUGGCCUGUUUACCAUUUUACUGUAUAGAAGUAAGUGCAUUUUUACAAAAACCCUCGAAUCAAUUAGUGGAUAACAGGUUCUGAGUGUCUGGGAAUCUGGGCUUGUUUUAUAGAUGGAUAAUGUGCAUUUCAUGAACAGGGAUCCUUAAGGAGGAUGGGGGAUAACAUGGGGGGAUUUUUUUUAUUUUAAUGAAAGUAUUCCUAAUUACAUUAUUUGGAAGCUGUACCUCAACUGUAUUGUGCAUUUCCCAGUGAAAUCUGCAUCUACAUCCUGCCAUUUUUACAAUAAAGCAAUUUCCAAACAA